UUGGAUGUAGCUCAGUUGGUUGAGUGCUUGCCUAAUGUGCAUGACACCCUGAGUUUAAUACCCAGCUCUAUA
rnacentral:tRNA from 1 species